rnacentral:misc_RNA from 1 species
CAACCCUCGAACCCCUCCGGGGGGUCGGCGUUGGGGAUCGGCACUUAACCUGCCGGCCCCGAAAUGCAGUGGCGGUCCCGCCGCAGCCUCUCAUGCGCAGUAGUUUGCACACUCGCACCGGGAGCGCGGCGCGUCCACGUCCGUAAAACACCCAACUUUCUGAAA